rnacentral:rRNA from 1 species
UACGGAGGGGGCUAGCGUUGUUCGGAAUUACUGGGCGUAAAGGGCGUGUAGGCGGAUCGGCUAGUCAGAUGUGAAAGCCCCGGGCUCAACCUGGGAACUGCAUUUGAUACUACCGAUCUUGAGUCCGGGAGAGGGUAGUGGAAUUCCCAGUGUAGAGGUGAAAUUCGUAGAUAUUGGGAAGAACACCAGUGGCGAAGGCGGCUACCUGGACCGGUACUGACGCUGAGGCGCGAAAGCGUGGGGAGCAAACAGG